rnacentral:rRNA from 1 species
GACGAACGCUGGCGGCGUGCUUAACACAUGCAAGUCGAACGGAAAGGCCCUGCUUUUGUGGGGUGCUCGAGUGGCGAACGGGUGAGUAACACGUGAGUAACCUGCCCUUGACUUUGGGAUAACUUCAGGAAACUGGGGCUAAUACCGGAUAGGAGCUCCUGCUGCAUGGUGGGGGUUGGAAAGUUUCGGCGGUUGGGGAUGGACUCGCGGCUUAUCAGCUUGUUGGUGGGGUAGUGGUUUACCAAGGCUUUGACGGGUAGCCGGCCUGAGAGGGUGACCGGGCACCUUGGGACUGAGAGACGGCCCAGACUGCUACGGGAGGCAGCAGUGGGGAAUAUUGCACAAUGGGCGGAAGCCUGAUGCAGCAACGCCGCGUGCGGGAUGACGGCCUUCGGGUUGUAAACCGCUUUCGCCUGUGACGAAGCGUGAGUGACGGUAAUGGGUAAAGAAGCACCGGCUAACUACGUG